rnacentral:lncRNA from 1 species
GAAUGUGGUGAUGUUGGAGAGACCAAUGGAUUGUGAAGAUGUUGCAUAUGAGCAUGGAGUAAAUGAAGUGGCUAUGAAAUAAAUUCCAUGCUCAUUAAUGCUUAGAGUGAAAUCCAUGUGGUAUGGUGAAAUGAUAAGGUGAGUGUGGAAAAAAAGAAAAGAAAAAUGAUACACGGACGACUUGGUUCGAAACUAGCACAGCUACCGUUCCCCGGCAACGGCGCCAG